AUGAAAUCUGACGGGAUAAUUAAUGCCAGAUCCCGUUAUGUGUCCGUGACACGCUACAGGGUUCCUUUGACUCGGUGCCCCCGCCUUGAAGAGCUUCAUGUCAUAAUUCAAGCCAGAGGCAGACGUGCGAUGGGCCCGCGGGCCCAACGGUGCGGCGGCCGUCGCUUUCACACAGCGGGAGAUGAAGAGGCGAACGGGCCAAUUGAUUUCGGGCACCUCCUCGCCUCGCGACGUUCCAAUGGGCCGUCGGCGUUUGUGCGAACAUGCAGUUUCAAUUUGAGGAGCCACAGUGGGAGUCGCACCCCCAACCACAGCGCUGCUGGUGCCAUGCUCUGCCCACUGGGCUUCAGAGAGGGAGCGUGCAGGGAACCAGCAGGGGGGCUGAUCUUGGCCCACACCCACCACCCUCAAGGUCCACAUGCCCCUCGAACAUGGAAGCUCCUCGCUCCAACGAGACUCCAAAAUUCUGCUUCGUAUGAAACCAUUUGAAACGACGGUUUACAGGUCAUGCUGAAAUGUCACACGUCUAAUUUCAUGUAAGAAAAUCGAAGCUGUAUAUAUGUUUUCUGUCGACGGGAGCUGAAUUAAAUGGAAAAUGAGAUGAUGCUAUUUGUCCCUGUUUUAUCCAGAUGUUCAUAUAAACUCACACGGGAAGAUGAUUGUUUUGUGCAGCACAUUCAGUAGAUGUUUAAUAAGCGGUACCGUUGCGUCACGAGGCCACUGGGACGGUUCUAUGCCACGUACGUGUGAGUGCUGGAGCUCACAGACGCUGACAGCAUCUCAACAACAUGUGGAACUGCACUAGGCUGAUUUCAUCACACCGUCCAAAGAGUGGAGAAACAAAAGUGGAAGCACAAACAAUCUUAAUUCUAACACUAACUAAUUGUUUGAAAAGUCAUUUUUGCCUUUUGUGUCGUUCUCGUUGCGAAGGCGCCCGUCCAGCUGUGGCCUCGUCCACCACGGCCUCGCUGCGUCAUAUGACGUGCACGUGUGCGCUGGCAUCUUGAAAACACAUUCUUUUGGUGCUUUUGGAUCGAGCGGGCCGCACCCACGCGAGGGAGCCGAGGCUCCGCAGCUGACGGGACGCCGGACACAACGGAGGAACAACGGGGACGCUCAUCUCACGCCGGACGCCGCCAGAGCCUGGGAGCUCUGCGACGGAAAAGCUUCCAGGGCUCAGGUCUGGGAAGGGGACGAUCGGUGAAAGGGAUGCAUUCAGGCGUUGUUUUCUGUGUUGGAGGAGAGCGCUGGAUUGCAUUAAGGUUGAGGCUCCUGCUCCAGAUCUUACCAGGGGGCAAAUAACCCCAGCGGAGACUGUUUAGUUUCAGCCAGCAGCCCUGUUCCCUAAAUGAUUGGCCAGUAGUUACAGAGGUUAAAUAGACCUCCACUGUAAAAUGCGGCCCCAUGCUGCUUUUACGGGCCUCUGUUGCCCCCCUGUGGCGACCAGCGAGACUCGCUCCCACUGCUCCAGAGCUGUCAGACCACCUGCGUGCAGCGGCGAGCAGAGAAGAGUGCCGCGUGCUAAUGGAAUCAUGGGAUUAGAGAUGUGUUAUGUUUCACGUGCCGCGAGACGCCCAGCGACCGUCCGCACCUUAAUGAAAAUGAAGACCACAUUGGGACCGUGUGAGCGUGUGUGCGCGCUCGCUGAUUGCUGUCUGGACCUCAUUUAAGUAGAAACAGAUUGAAGAAUGAUAAUUAGGUCUAAUAAGGUGGAAUUUCCCUAACUAUGUCAAACAGCAGCCGCAUCACAGGGCUGCUUCUAGAGGGUCUUCAGGUCAAAUGGAAGCCCACGCUGAGACACACACACACACACACACACACACACACACACACACACACACACACACACACACACAUGCUAUAGACAUGCUAUGGAAAAUAUGAGUUUUUUGAUAGUUUUUCCUAAUAUAGUUUAGCAGAAACACCACCUGCUACUGUAGCAGCUUAGGAUAUUAAGUUAAGUUAAGUUAAAACAAAUAAAACAGACAGAUACAGAUGUGUCGGUAUUCUG
ensembl:lncRNA